rnacentral:rRNA from 1 species
UACGUAGGGUGCAAGCGUUGUCCGGAAUUAUUGGGCGUAAAGAGCUCGUAGGCGGUCUGUCGCGUCUGGUGUGAAAACUCGGGGCUUAACUCCGGGCCUGCAUCGGGUACGGGCAGACUAGAGUGCGGUAGGGGAGACUGGAAUUCCUGGUGUAGCGGUGAAAUGCGCAGAUAUCAGGAGGAACACCGGUGGCGAAGGCGGGUCUCUGGGCCGUAACUGACGCUGAGGAGCGAAAGCAUGGGGAGCGAACAGG